UACAGAGGGUGCGAGCGUUGUCCGGAAUCACUGGGCGUAAAGGGCGCGUAGGUGGUGGCUUAAGCGUGCGGUGAAAGCUCGGGGCUCAACCCCCGAGUCGGCCGUGCGAACUGGGCUCACUGGAGCAUAGUAGAGGCAGGUGGAAUUCCGGGUGUAGCGGUGGAAUGCGUAGAGAUCCGGAAGAACACCAGUGGCGAAGGCGGCCCGCUGGGCAGUGGCUGACGCUGAGGCGCGACAGCGUGGGGAGCAAACAGG
rnacentral:rRNA from 1 species